AUGAACGCUGGCGGCGUGCCUAAUACAUGCAAUUCUAGCGAACAGACGAGGAGCUUGCUCCUCUGACGUUAGCGGCGGACGGGUGAGUAACACGUGGAUAACCUACCUAUAAGACUGGGAUAACUUCGGGAAACCGGAGCUAAUACCGGAUAAUAUAUUUAACCGCAUGGUUCAAUAGUGAAAGACGGUUUUGCUGUCACUUAUAGAUGGAUCCGCGCCGCAUUAGCUAGUUGGUAAGGUAACGGCUUACCAAGGCAACGAUGCGUAGCCGACCUGAGAGGGUGAUCGGCCACACUGGAACUGAGACACGGUCCAGACUCCUACGGGAGGCAGCAGUAGGGAAUCUUCCGCAAUGGGCGAAAGCCUGACGGAGCAACGCCGCGUGAGUGAUGAAGGUCUUCGGAUCGUAAAACUCUGUUAUUAGGGAAGAACAAAUGUGUAAGUAACUAUGCACGUCUUGACGGUACCUAAUCAGAAAGCCACGGCUAACUACGUG
rnacentral:rRNA from 1 species